rnacentral:lncRNA from 1 species
GCCGGUAGUUCUGCUGCGGUCUCUGCCCUUCUCUGACUCAGCUGUUCUGGCUAAUGUGAUGCUUACCAGGGCUUCAGGACUUGCUGAAGAGGCUGACUCUGUCAGGAUCUGACAUUUGCUGGAGACAUAUUAAGAAGAGAAGAAAUAUUGACUGAUCUUUCUGGAACAGAAUAUGGAGUGCUGAAGCACCAUGGAUCUAACUUAUAUUCCUG